CCAGACCGGAGGGUCCCGUAUUCAAUAUGGGUCCCCAAAUUUUUGGCACCAGGGACCAGUCUCAUAGAAGAUAAUUUUUUCCUGGAUCAGGGGUGGGAACGGUUUCAGGAUAAUUCAAGCAUAUUACAUGUAUUGUGUGAAACAACUUGACCAAGCCCACCUGUGAAUGACUACAGGCAGGAAGAAAUUAACACGUUCCCUCCAGAGACAGACAAGAACCAGGAAAUGUUUGACUUGACUCCCUUUCCUUUUAGUAUAAAAGGAGCCUGAAUUCUAACCCAGGCAAGAUGGUUCUUGGGGAUGAGUCUACCAUUUUCUCCAUCUGCAGGCUUUCUGAAUAAAGUUCCUUGCCCC
rnacentral:lncRNA from 1 species